rnacentral:rRNA from 1 species
GCUUAACACAUGCAAGUCGAGCGGAUGACGGGAGCUUGCUCCUUGAUUCAGCGGCGGACGGGUGAGUAAUGCCUAGGAAUCUGCCUGGUAGUGGGGGACAACGUUUCGAAAGGAACGCUAAUACCGCAUACGUCCUACGGGAGAAAGCAGGGGACCUUCGGGCCUUGCGCUAUCAGAUGAGCCUAGGUCGGAUUAGCUAGUUGGUGGGGUAAUGGCUCACCAAGGCGACGAUCCGUAACUGGUCUGAGAGGAUGAUCAGUCACACUGGAACUGAGACACGGUCCAGACUCCUACGGGAGGCAGCAGUGGGGAAUAUUGGACAAUGGGCGAAAGCCUGAUCCAGCCAUGCCGCGUGUGUGAAGAAGGUCUUCGGAUUGUAAAGCACUUUAAGUUGGGAGGAGGGGCAGUAAGUUAAUACCUUGCUGUUUUGACGUUACCGACAGAAUAAGCACCGGCUAACUCUGUGCCAGCAGCCGCGGUAAUAC